AGUAGGGGCAAAACCAGGACUCCCUGGCACUUAUGUAUCAGAUCCUUUCUACCGCCCAUGCUGUGCCACUUAAAACAUCUUUCUUCUCUAUUCUAAACCUAGGAGAUGUGGGAGGACACGCUCACAGUCACAAGGCUAUUGUAAGUGGCAAAGAGGACUCCGGGACACAAGUUUUUCUCUUGUCACUUAGUUGAGGAUCUUUACACUGUGUCAUUUGGCCUCUGUCAGAAGAACAAAUGUGAAACACAUUCAUUGAACUUCUGUUCUCACAAGUCAAGUUUCAAAGAGCAUCUGCCAUAAUGAAUAAAAAUAUAUCUGUAUUUCUCCCGUGUGCUUCGAUUCAGGCAGUCCUGGGUUACAGUCCAGUAAGUCAAGUUCAGGGAACAUCAUGUUUAUCUGAGAGUGAAAAGAGGAGCCCGAACUAAAAAACACACAGACAAAAAAAGACAGCUCUCUGUCUCUCCGUCUUUUAUUUUCCUGCCAAUUCUAAUUCCCCAGCUGAAGAACCUCAUCUACGACUGUGUUCUCUCGAUGUUGACAGAAACUCAAAAUUCAGGUAAUUCUGCUGCAAGUUUCAGUCCAUUCUUGAUAACUCAGAUUCCAAGGUUGCAAGCAGCUUCAGGUCUCCGGUAAAAGACUGGUCUCAUUAAAGGACUUGGAUCAGGCAGCAGAGUAUGGAUUCUAUUGCCAAUGCCUGGCGGACAAGCCCAGAUCAGACCUUAAAGUGGGAGGGAGGGUAGCACUCUUCAGAAGGAUGGGGAAUAUAUUAGUGCAGGGCUUAAACUCACAAGUUGAAGAGGGAUUUGCCUGCCCCACCCACUGAGCCACCAGGACCCCAUUGUUAAUCUCUCCUUAUGCACCUGCAGAAGUACUUAAGGAAACAUGGUAAUACAUCUUUAUUAGAUAUUGAAAAUUUGAUCAUUGUGCCAAUGUUUUCCCAUCAACAGUGAAAGAAUUCCACUGCUUUGUUGUCCUUGACAACACUUGCUAUUUUGAAACUUAAAUUGUUGCUAAUUUGAUGGGUGUGAUGUAGUACUUCCUUGUGUCUUAACCAGUAUUUCCUUGAUUAGUGAACAGUAUUCUUUCAUUAUUUAUUGGCCUUUCAGAUUUACUCUUGUAAGAAAUCUUUUUUGUUUUUUCAGUGUGCAUAUUUCUAUUAGGUAGUCUUUCAUGACUUCCAGGGAUUUUUA